AUGCCAUGUUGGCUAAAA
rnacentral:piRNA from 1 species